rnacentral:rRNA from 1 species
GAUGAACGCUGGCGGCGUGCCUAAUACAUGCAAGUCGAGCGAACAGACGAGGAGCUUGCUCCUUCGACGUUAGCGGCGGACGGGUGAGCAACACGUAGGUAACCUACCUAUAAGACUGGGAUAACUUCGGGAAACCGGAGCUAAUACCGGAUAAUAUUUCGAACCGCACGGUUCGAUAGUGAAAGAUGGCUUUGCUAUCACUUAUAGAUGGACCUGCGCCGUAUUAGCUAGUUGGUAAGGUAACGGCUUACCAAGGCAACGAUACGUAGCCGACCUGAGAGGGUGAUCGGCCACACUGGAACUGAGACACGGUCCAGACUCCUACGGGAGGCAGCAGUAGGGAAUCUUCCGCAAUGGGCGAAAGCCUGACGGAGCAACGCCGCGUGAGUGAUGAAGGUCUUCGGAUCGUAAAACUCUGUUAUUAGGGAAGAACAAACGUGUAAGUAACUGUGCACGUCUUGACGGUACCUAAUCAGAAAGCCACGGCUAACUACGUG